rnacentral:rRNA from 1 species
UACGUAGGGGGCGAGCGUUGUCCGGAUUUAUUGGGCGUAAAGCGCGCGUAGGCGGAGCGUUAAGUCUGGCCUGAAAGCCCCCGGCUCAACCGGGGAAGGUGGCUGGAAACUGGCGUUCUUGAGGGCGACAGAGGAGAGUGGAAUUCCUGGUGUAGCGGUGAAAUGCGUAGAUAUCAGGAGGAACACCCGUGGCGAAGGCAGCUCUCUGGGUCGGACCUGACGCUGAGGCGCGAAAGCGUGGGGAGCAAACAGG